UAUGGAUGAUGAUGAUGAUGAUGAUGAUGAUGAUGAUGAUGAUGAUGAUGAUGAUAUCAACAACACCAUCACACCAACAACAUCAUCAAGAUGU
rnacentral:miRNA from 1 species